rnacentral:rRNA from 1 species
GACGAACGCUGGCGGCGUGCCUAAUACAUGCGAGUUGAGCGAUGAAGAUUGGUGCUUGCACCAAUUUGAAGAGCAGCGAACGGGUGAGUAACGCGUGGGGAAUCUGCCUUUGAGCGGGGGACAACAUUUGGAAACGAAUGCUAAUACCGCAUAACAACUUUAAACAUAAGUUUUAAGUUUGAAAGAUGCAAUUGCAUCACUCAAAGAUGAUCCCGCGUUGUAUUAGCUAGUUGGUGAGGUAAAGGCUCACCAAGGCGAUGAUACAUAGCCGACCUGAGAGGGUGAUCGGCCACAUUGGGACUGAGACACGGCCCAAACUCCUACGGGAGGCAGCAGUAGGGAAUCUUCGGCAAUGGACGAAAGUCUGACCGAGCAACGCCGCGUGAGUGAAGAAGGUUUUCGGAUCGUAAAACUCUGUUGGUAGAGAAGAACGUUGGUGAGAGUGGAAAGCUCAUCAAGUGACGGUAACUACCCAGAAAGGGACGGCUAACUACGUGC